rnacentral:rRNA from 1 species
UGGGGAAUCUUGGACAAUGGGGGCAACCCUGAUCCAGCCAUGCCGCGUGAGUGAUGAAGGCCUUAGGGUCGUAAAGCUCUUUCGCCUGUGAAGAUAAUGACGGUAGCAGGUAAAGAAACCCCGGCUAACUCCGUGCCAGCAGCCGCGGUAAUACGGAGGGGGUUAGCGUUGUUCGGAAUUACUGGGCGUAAAGCGCACGUAGGCGGACCAGAAAGUUGGGGGUGAAAUCCCGGGGGCUCAACCCCGGAACUGCCUCCAAAACUAUUGGUCUAGAGUUCGAGAGAGGUGAGUGGAAUUCCAAGUGUAGAGGUGAAAUUCGUAGAUAUUUGGAGGAACACCAGUGGCGAAGGCGGCUCACUGGCUCGAUACUGACGCUGAGGUGCGAAAGUGUGGGGAGCAAACAGGAUUAGAUACCCUGGGUAGUCCACACCGUAAAACGAUGAAUGCCAGUCGUCGGGUAGCAUGCUAUUCGGUGACACACCUAACGGAUUAAGCAUUCCGCCUGGGGAGUACGGUCGG